rnacentral:rRNA from 1 species
CAAUAGCGUAUAUUAAAGUUGUUGCAGUUAAAAAGCUCGUAGUUGGACUUCUGGGUUGUGAUUGUGGUCCGCCUAACGGUGUGCACUGUGGUUGCGACUCUUCUUCCCGUAGUUUGGGGGUGCACUUAGUUGUGUGCUUUUGGAAUAUGGGACCUUUACUUUGAAAAAUUAGAGUGUUCAAAGCAGGCCUUCGCUUGAAUACAUUAGCAUGGAAUAAUAGAAUAGGACUUUGGUUCUAUUUUGUUUGGUUUCUUAGGACCGAAGUAAUGAUUAAUAGGGACGAGUUGGGGGCGAUUAGUAUUUAAUUUGUCAGAGGUGAAAUUCUUGGAUUUAUUGAAAGAACUAACUACUGCGAAAGCAUUUGUCCAAGGAUGUUUUCUAUUAAUCAAGAACGAAAGUU